rnacentral:rRNA from 1 species
UACGAAGGGUGCAAGCGUUACUCGGAAUUACUGGGCGUAAAGCGUGCGUAGGCGGUUUGUUAAGUCUGUCGUGAAAGCCCCGGGCUCAACCUGGGAAUGGCGAUGGAUACUGGCGAGCUAGAGUACGGUAGAGGAGAGUGGAAUUCCCGGUGUAGCAGUGAAAUGCGUAGAGAUCGGGAGGAACAUCAGUUGCGAAGGCGGCUCUCUGGACCAGUACUGACGCUGAGGCACGAAAGCGUGGGGAGCAAAAGGG